AAUGUUAAAGAAGUAAAAACAAGCAGAAAAUGGCUUCAUCCUAAAAAUAUAGAUCUUUUGUGCACUUUAUUUAAAAAAGCCUGACACAACUGACGUUACAUCUUGUUGAUUUUGACAGAUCGACUUGGACACGAUCGACGUGAGCAACCUGAACCGUCAGUUCCUCUUCCAGAAGAAGCAUGUGGGCAAGUCUAAAGCACAGGUAGCCAAGGAGAGCGCUCUGCAGUUCUGUCCGUCUGCAAAUAUCACGGCGUACCACGACAGCAUCAUGAACCCCGACUACAACGUGGAGUUCUUCAGAAAGUUUGUGCUGGUGAUGAACGCUCUGGAUAACAGAGGUACUCAAACACAACAUCACGACUCUGACGUGUUGUGUUUCUUCAGUUUUGGUCGCACAUAGACAAAGAAGGUAUCAAAAUGACCGGCUCAGCGGGGGAUGUUGUGCUGUGACUUUUCUAAGAGCUUC